UUCUUAAUGAGCAGACCAUGGCCACCUGUGAGCUUGGUGGCCACGCCCCUCCACAUGCUACAAGACAGAUCUCACACACAAGCUUUUGCUUGGGAGAGGCGAAGGUCGAGUCAUGCGUCCCCCGAAACAUCACCCACCAAACCGCACUCCUUAACACCCGCCGCCCGCUAAACCCGGAAGCCAGCCGCACCAAUGUGACGGAGGAAACACUGUUCAACUGAUGACCAGAGUCAGCCUGCAGGCGACCACCCCGCCCAGCAGUUUUUGCUAGGCUACCUGCCCUCGUUCAUUUCUUCAACACUUUCUCCCUCCCAUCACCCAGUGUAUCAGACUCUAAACUAUGGAGGGAAUUACUCUCUAUCCUCCAAACAAAAAGCAUCUCUCCUUCUCUCCAGGUCUCUCCUGAUGUGAGAGCCUGUGAGGAAUAAAAUGUCCUUAAUCAGACCAAG